rnacentral:misc_RNA from 1 species
UUUCCGUAGGUGAACCUGCGGAAGGAUCAUUACCAAGUGAGGGUCUCUCAGGCCCGACCUCCCACCCUGUGUUUUUGUGACCUUGUUGCUUUGGCGGGCCCGCCUCGAUGAGAUGCCGCCUGAAGCUCACCGACUUGGGCCGUUUCCCGUCAGUAACCCCCUUAAAUUCUUAAUAAACCUCUCAUCAGAUAUAAUUGAUAUAAAGAAAAAAAAAUUUCAACAACCGAUAUCUUGGUUCUUGCAUCUAUGAAGAACGCAGAAGGUCGGAAAAGCACACGG